AGAGUUUGAUCCUUGCUCAGGAUGAACGCUAGCGGCAGGCUUAACACAUGCAAGUCGGGCGGCAGCGGGGUGGGAGCUUGCUCCCACUGCCGGCGAGCGGCGCACGGGUGAGUAACACGUAUGCAACCUGCCCCUGUCAGGGGGACAACCCGCCGAAAGGCGGGCUAGGCCCGCGUAUAUCGCCCCGGGGCAUCCCGGGGGGAGGAAAGGAGCGACCCGGACAGGGAUGGGCAUGCGGCGCAUUAGCUGGUCGGCGGGGUAACGGCCCACCGAGGCGACGAUGCGUAGGGGUUCUGAGAGGAAGGCCCCCCACACUGGUACUGAGACACGGACCAGACUCCUACGGGAGGCAGCAGUGAGGAAUAUUGGUCAAUGGGCGGGAGCCUGAACCAGCCAAGCCGCGUGAGGGAAGAAGGUACAGCGUAUCGUACACCUCUUUUGUUAGGGAACAAAGGCGGGGACUAGUCCCCGGAUGAGGGUACCUGAAGAAAAAGCAUCUUCUAACUCCGUGCCACCAGCCGCGGUAAUACGGAGAAUGCGAGCGUUAUCCGGAUUUAUAGGGUUUAAAGGGUGCGCAGGCGGCGCUGUUCAGUCAAGGGGUAAAAGCCCGGGGCUCAACCCCGGCGAGCCGUUGAAACUGGCGGGCUGGAGUUGGAGAGAAGUGCGCGGAAUGCGCGGUGUAGCGGUGAAAUACUUAGAUAUCGCGCAGAACCCCGAUUGCGAAGGCAGCGUACCGGCUCCACACUGACGCUGAGGCACGAAAGCGUGGGUGUGGAACAGGAUUAGAUACCCUGGUAGUCCCCGCAGUAAACG
rnacentral:rRNA from 1 species